UUUAAAAGAGAGCGCGCGGCUACACACUUACUCAGCUGACUUGUCAAAACAAACGACUCCUGUAGGUGGUUAUCGGAUAAGAGAAGUAGUUGAAAAGCGCAGUUAUGAAUCAAGACAGAGGUUUGAAAAAUGCGCCACAUCCCAAUCUCCAACCGCCAACGCCCAACGUAGUGAUGCAGAAGAACUUGCGGGACAAUAAUAUCUUCAGAAGUCCAACGGACAAUAUGCUGUCCCCAUGCACGCGCAGGCUCAUGAAGAAAUCUGACAAAAGCUUGUACUGGGGAAAGAAAUCACAGGACGUUGAUGGUAAAGAGAACUGAUCCUUGUCAAGUCUGUAGAAAUCUGUUUUUUAGAUUUAAGUCCAAGUCUGUUUGCUGAUUCUUAUUUUUGUGACACUGCUUUGGAAUAAGUUAUGGAAAUGAGAGCAACAUGGAUAUUUGUAUGUAAAUGUUUGUUCAGCAUCUAAGUCUAAAUUAUUUUUCUGUGGGUGAUUUAAACUGUCAGUUAUUUAAAAUG